rnacentral:rRNA from 1 species
UGCAGUCGAACGGAGAAUUUCAAUAAGUUUACUUAGAGAAAUUUUUAGUGGCGGACGGGUGAGUAACGCGUGGGUAACCUACCCAUAAAGCCGGGACAACCCUUGGAAACGAGGGCUAAUACCGGAUAAUCUUAAGCUUUGGCAUCAAAGUUUAAGGAAAGGUGGCCUCUGAGUAUGCUACCGAUUAUGGAUGGACCCGCGUCUGAUUAGCUAGUUGGUGGGGUAAAGGCCUACCAAGGCGACGAUCAGUAGCCGGCCUGAGAGGGUGAACGGCCACACUGGGACUGAGACACGGCCCAGACUCCUACGGGAGGCAGCAGUGGGGAAUCUUCCGCAAUGGACGAAAGUCUGACGGAGCAACGCCGCGUGUAUGAUGAAGGUCUUCGGAUUGUAAAGUACUGUCUUUGGGGAAGAAUGACUGGUUUGAAAAUAUUGAGCCAGUAUGACGGUACCCAAGGAGGAAGCCCCGGCUAACUACGUGCCAGCAGCCGCGGUAAUACGUAGGGGGCAAGCGUUGUCCGGAAUUAUUGGGCGUAAAGGGCGCGUAGGCGGAUGUUUAAGUCCGGUGUGAAAGAUCAGGGCUCAACCCUGAGAGUGCAUCGGAAACUGGGCAUCUUGAGGACAGGAGAGGAAAGUGGAAUUCCACGUGUAGCGGUGAAAUGCGUAGAUAUGUGGAGGAACAC